rnacentral:lncRNA from 1 species
CUAUUCAAGAUGACCAAGCAAGAAUAAGAACGGAAAUGAAAUUAAACAUAAACCAAAAUCCAUCCAACUCGCAUAAAUUGUCAAAGCCAAAAUAUACAUUUCAUAGUGCCAAUAUUGAAAUGAGUUUCCAGAGACCAUGGUCACUAUUGACGCUAUGUUUCUGUCAAAGUUGGCGCUAUAUUCAUAGAGCCAAGUUUGAUAGAUCCAUAGCACCAAUAUUGACAUACCUCCCCGAUCAAAGUUCUAGGAAAUUGAACAACAUUUACAACACCGCCAGCUUGCAUCAAUCGUAUUUAAGAGCUAGGAGAUAUGUCUGAAAUAUGAAACUGCGAUGUUUUCCGACCAAGUCGAGAUCCAAGGUCCUUGAAGAUGUCAACAUGCUUCGCAUUGCUUGUCCUAUACCAUCCACACACACUGUAUCACUCCAAUUAAUGCCUCAAUGUCGUUUUGUACCUGAAAUCUAUAAAAGAAACACUCCAAAACGACAUCAAAUGGACCCCGACAAGUUUCGAGACACUAAAUUGAGAUAAACUCUUAAAAUGCAUAAAACAUCCUAAAGUUUUACCUAAAGUAAUACAAUUAUGCAUGAAAUUUCACUUAAAUAAGGGUGAUGAACAUGACAAAUCGAGUGCCAUCGUCAGCAUCAACAUCUUAAAACCCCGUUGUCCCUUUCUCAGCAUCUAAAUCGAUUGUCGGCUGAGACUAUAUCUACGGUACAGCACUGCUGAUGGGGUAGCAAAUUUCCAUUCCAUACAUAUAAAAGACGAGGAGGGAGAAAUAGGAGUCAUCGUCCUACCUAAACACAAUGAAAUGGCGAUUCUGAAAGAACAAAAUGUUACAAAGUCAUCCCAAACUUGAUUGUGAAUAAAAAAUUUCAUGCGGCCAUCGUUGUAUUUAAAGAUCUGAUUGACGAUGAAAAUGAUACAAAAUGAAUCCGGACGAACAAACUAGGGAUCGGUUGUGCAUAAAAAUACCAAUGAGAGGAAAAAGAUGAAGAACAUAAGAAAAUAAUAGCUACUCUUACGGUGAAAGGUUUUAAUGAACUUCUUCCUUCAUACCAUUCAUUUGAUUGUGAUGAAUCCAUUGAAUAUGACUCGGAUGAAAAGGGGCUUAUCUUCAAAGGAGAGUCUGUUCAUCUUCUCUGAAUUGGUUUUGAGGUUGGGAGAGAUUAUAGGUGUAGGAAAGGAUAGAGAGACACAGAAAUGGGGAAAAUUCACAUUGAAAAGAAGAAUACUUUAAUAUGAACGGUUGGGGAUUGGGUUUU